CCCUUAGAUGUCCGGGGCCGCACGCGCGCUACACUGAAGGAAUCAGCGUGGCUUUCUCCCUGACCCGAAAGGGUUGGGAAACCCGUUGAAUCUCCUUCGUGAUAGGGAUUGGGGCUUGAAAUUGUUCCCCAUGAACGAGGAAUUCCCAGUUAGCGCGAGUCAUAAGCUCGCGUUGAUUACGUCCCUGCCCUUUGUACACACCGCCCGUCGCUACUACCGAUUGAACGGUUUAGUGAGGGCCUCGGAUUGGUCUCGGCCCGCUCUUUACCGGGCGGCGCCGUUGGUCGAGAAGACGCUCGAACUUGAUCGUUUAGAGGAAGUAAAAGUCGUAACA
rnacentral:rRNA from 1 species